UUGAUGGAAGGAUGGGAAAUAUACACUCAAAAAAUAUUCAACUUGAAUUUAUGUGAAAACUCCCAUACAUUGAAAACGGGGUCCAUUCUGGAUGAAUUACAUGACUGUACACCCAGAAGACAAAUUACUAAAAUAAGCUACCAAAUCUUUGGUAAGCCAAACAUUAGUAGAAUGUACAUAUUUGCAUAAAUAUUAGUUAAAUAAACGCAAUACACAUCCCUACCAACGAUUGGUACAUUUUACUGUGCGUUAACUCAGACAAUUGUCACCUCUGGCAACCGCGAAAAAAUAUCGGUCAUUAUUUCAAUUUUCGCCGUGCUGAUAACAAUAAUAAAGGUUUUUACAUAUGGUCCACCUAAUCGCGCAGAGCGCAGAGAAACCGAUUCACAGUUGUGGUACUUUGCGAACCACCAGUGGAGAUAGAGGUAUCGUGCUGGGAAUAACCGGCGAAGAUGGUGAUAACUCGGCCGAUAAACAUCCGCUUGAUCUGGUGGACGAUUAAAUGUGAUAAAUGUCAGUAAUACUUGCAGUGUAAUCUCAUAGUGCAUCAGCAUUGCUCGGCCACGGGACAUGAACCGUGCGCAGCGGAAACUGGCAGUAGGACGGUAACGUUGACCAGCCGUAGUCACCAGGCCUUUGGACUUGGUCUUUGCUAGCAGUUUAGCGUGGCCGAGCUGCCGGCGCCGCAGAUUGUCAUAAUAUCUUGCAACGAGCUCGAACAGAAAGUGAUGUGUAACUUGAACCUGGAUCUGUAUAAUCUGUAUCGGACGACGUCACCGAACCACGAUGAGGUUAAACUGCGUGACUCACUCAACGAAAAUCUAAUCAACACCGAUCUGGGCAGCUAUUCACCGGAUGGUGUAGCCACGGUGCUCAAGAAGUUCUUACGGGAGCUGUCCGAUCCGAUCAUUCUGGUUAUGUUUUACGACAAAUUCGUCGUAAGCCUCAAUGAUGCGUAGCAAUCCGAUUUCAUAUCCAGGAUCUGCCAAUUUACCACAACAUGACGCUCAAGUAUAUCAUGAUACAUCUGAUACGAAUAUGCCAAAUGCAGUACCAGCGGGAACUGAAAGAAGAACCGACAAUACUGAUGCAAGUGUGGUGCCAUAUUCUAAUGUGUCCUUCUAGGGAGAAAAUUUUUCAAAUCUUGCAUAACACGGAAAACCACUUGCGAAUAAUGAAACUGUUGCUCUAUAAGCUGGACUGGAACAAAAAACUAUCAGAAUUUCUGUCUGCUCCUGCGGUACCACAACGGAAAAUCUCCCGAAGUACGGCUGUGUUACAGCAGCAGUAGCAGUAACAACAAAUACCCGGUUCGUCCACUGUUUUACCAGCAGAAUAUGCUGCUUCAAAAAACCUGCGAUAAAAUCCCCGGCAUCUGUGAUACAAGCGUCCUUGGUUGGGGUGUAUAAUAAUGCCCGUAGCAAUAGUAGUAAUGGAAUAGUGACUGCCGAAAGUCGGGGGACAGCGUUGAUACGAGCAGUUGAUGAUGCAAACACCAGCUGAUCUAACGAAUCAAAUCGACCGGUUCCUUCCUCGAGUUCCAAUUUUAUUUAUAUAGAAAUAAUUAUUUAUAAUUUUUAUUG